UUUCCGUAGGUGAACCUGCGGAAGGAUCAUUAUUGUAUAACCGAGGUGCGAGGGCUGUCGCUGACCCGAAAGGUCGUGCACGCCCGAGUGCCCUCACACAUCCAUCUCACCCCUAUGUGCACCACCGCGUGGGUCCCCCUUUGGCUUGUUCGGAGGGGGGCUUACGUUUUCACACAAACUUUGUAUGCAGUGUAGAAUGUAUUUUUUGUUUUUGCGAUUACGCAAUCAAUACAACUUUCAACAACGGAUCUCUUGGCUCUC
rnacentral:misc_RNA from 1 species